rnacentral:rRNA from 1 species
UACGUAGGUGGCAAGCGUUGUCCGGAUUUACUGGGCGUAAAGAGCGCGCAGGCGGUCGGAUAAGUCGAAUGUGAAAGCCCCCGGCUUAACUGGGGAGGGUCAUUCGAUACUGUUCGACUUGAAGGCAGGAGAGGGCAGCAGAAUUCCCGGUGUAGUGGUGAAAUGCGUAGAUAUCGGGAGGAAUACCAGUGGCGAAGGCGGCUGCCUGGCCUGUUCUUGACGCUGAGGCGCGAAAGCUGGGGGAGCAAACGGG